UACGGAGGGUGCAAGCGUUAUCCGGAUUCACUGGGUUUAAAGGGAGCGCAGGCGGAUUAGUAAGUCAGUGGUGAAAGCCUCAAGCUUAACUUGGGAACUGCCAUUGAUACUAUUAGUCUUGAAUGUUGUUGAGGUUUGCGGAAUGGGUCAUGUAGCGGUGAAAUGCAUAGAUAUGACCCGGAACACCUAUUGCGAAGGCAGCAGGCUAAACAAAUAUUGACGCUGAGGCUCGAAAGCGUGGGGAUCAAACAGG
rnacentral:rRNA from 1 species